UACGGAGGAUCCGAGCGUUAUCCGGAUUUAUUGGGUUUAAAGGGUGCGUAGGCGGGAGAUUAAGUCGGUGGUGAAAUUUUGCAGCUCAACUGUAAAAGUGCCAUUGAUACUGGUUUCCUUGAGUGUGGAUGAAGUAGGCGGAAUUUGUGGUGUAGCGGUGAAAUGCAUAGAUAUCACGAGGAACUCCGAUUGCGCAGGCAGCUUACUAAACCAUAACUGACGCUCAGGCACGAAGGCGUGGGGAUCAAACAGGAUUAGAUACCCCU
rnacentral:rRNA from 1 species